rnacentral:misc_RNA from 1 species
GCAUGUGUCAUCAGCCCCCGAAAGAACACACCAUAUUACAACAUUCAAAUUUUCUCUCCCAUUACAUCUUUCAUUUUCUGAAAACCCUAGGAUCUAUACGGCUGAAGCUGCUCUUGCUUGGGAAGCACAGGCAAUCAUAGGAUGAGCACUCAAGACAGGAGGGCUUUUCCGAUGAGGUAUACAAGGAAUCAAUCAAGAAGGAAGACGGUACUCGAUGUAGAUCUCAAUGUGCCACCCCCAUCUGAUAAUAGGGAUCACGAAGGAACUUCAAGUCGUGUUGUUCCUGGGGAUGUGCCACCUGCACAACGAGGUGCUUCUUCGACACCUGCCCCAAUUGAUGUUGAGGCUCUUGAUGAUGAUGUGAUGAUAAUUUCUUCCCCUAGGGCACUUGCAGAAGCAAACAACAGCAACAUGAGGACUCGUGGACAGGUUAUUCUUGUUGAUGAGGAUUCUGAGGAUCAUCUGCCGAUGUUUAACAGGCGCAACAUGCGCAGAAGAGUCUCAACCAAUCAGUCAACAAUAAUGGGUGACAUCUACAUAAACCUAGAAGCAAAUAGCAGCUUACAGGCAGUCACUGCACAGAGUGCAAUACCACCAAAGCCAAUUGAACCUCCAACACCGCCAAAGCCAAUUCAACCCACAUUUAGCUGUCCAGUAUGCAUGGGAACCUUAGUUGAGGAGAUGUCAACAAAAUGUGGUCACAUUUUCUGCAAAGCUUGCAUCAAGGCUUCCAUAGCUGCUCAGGGUAAAUGUCCUACCUGUAGGAGGAAAAUUACCAUGAAAGACACCAUAAGGGUGUAUCUUCCUGCCGCAAUUUGAUAUGAUAAAGGGGGGUGGCCACCAUUUUAUAUGGCCUGUGGAGGAAUUACUUGUAAAGCCAGCUUGUUGUUAAACUAAUAUGAGUUGUGGAAAUAUCGGAGGUUUUGGGAGAUGCAUUGUUGGGUUCGAAGUAUGAAUUGGGAUCACUGUUAGACUUGGAUACCUUGGCUGUAGCUAAUACCGUGCUCUUUUGUUUGCUUUCAAAAUACUAGCUAGUGGAAACUAUGGAGUUCUUGUACUUAUGUUUAUUACAUUGUAGUUUUUGCUUGACUUAAUUGCAGUUCCGAACUUAAUUGUUCGGUCCUAAUGAUUAUACUUAACUGUUAAGGGAGGAAAUGAAAAAAG